UCUCUCCUGCCCUCCCCUCCAUCCCCUUGGCCAUGAAGCCCGGAUCAAAGGCUCCAAGCUGGGCUUUUGCCAGGGGCUGGCAGGAUUGGGGUGGGUGGGGGGCCUCGUGGGAAAGGAAACCGUGGAGGUGCAGAGGCUGCUGGAAGAGCUUUGAAGGCCGGAGACCAGGUUCAGAGAUGGUAAGUAACUUGCUCCAGACAACACAGCUCUAAGUAACGCCGCCGCCGCCGCCACUGAAACCCAGGCAACCCCCCAGCUGUUCUGAAGACCAGCUUCUGCCACUACAGAAGUGACGGGUGGGAGAACUGAUGAUUCCAGCUUCACCAAACCACUGCUUAGCCCUCCAGGCUCUAUUGCUCCUGCCAGGCAAGGAAGAGUGGCCAGCCGUGGUUCCUGGGGCAGAAAGACAGACUCCCUUCCUGGACACUUCCGAAAGCCUUAUUUCUCAUCCACUGCGACGCUGAGUGGCAGCCAAGGAAUGUGUUCUGGUCCUGUUUUACCACAGGGGAAAACCGGGUGAACCUAUCAAGAAGAGCCUGCUGCUUCCCACCUCUGGAUCCUGGAGGAGCCUGCAGGCGCUCAGGUCACUCACCUUAGCCACAUCCAGCAGGUAGAUCUGCAGGAAGAACCCCAGGGCACAGCCCGUCAGCUGGUAUGGGGCCCCUCCAACUGCAUAACAGAGCUUGUUGCAAAUGGACAAUUGCUGUGUCUUCUUCUUCGGUUCCUUCUGGGGAGAGAAGGGAAGACUUGAAAACAAACCCAGGAUUCUGGCCUCCAACCUAGUCUCCAGCUAACCAAACCAGGAGGAACAGCUCCUCCACCCUGCCCAAGUUCUCACCUAGGGAAAUCCCACUUCCCCUACCCCAGAGGAAGUUGCCCUUAAACUCAGACUUAUCUCACCCCCCCACCUCCCCUAGAGUCUUGAGGAAACCUAUCACCCUUCAUCUUUAAAGAUCGUCCCCCAGGCCAGGUGUAGGGAGGUAGAGCCAGGCAGGUCUCUGAGUUUGAGGCCAGCUUGGUCUACAGAGCGGGUUCCUAGACAGCCAGAACUACACAGAGAAACCCUGUCACAAACAAACAAA